CCGACCGGCGCACGGGUGAGUAACGCGUAUGCAACUUACCUAUCAGAGGGGGAUAACCCGGCGAAAGUCGGACUAAUACCGCAUGAAGCAGGGAUCCCGCAUGGGAAUAUUUGCUAAAGAUUCAUCGCUGAUAGAUAGGCAUGCGUUCCAUUAGGCAGUUGGCGGGGUAACGGCCCACCAAACCGACGAUGGGUAGGGGUUCUGAGAGGAAGGUCCCCCACAUUGGUACUGAGACACGGACCAA
rnacentral:rRNA from 1 species